rnacentral:rRNA from 1 species
GACGAGCGCUGGCGGCGUGCCUAAUACAUGCAAGUUGAGCGCUGAAGGUUGGUACUUGUACCGACUGGAUGAGCAGCGAACGGGUGAGUAACGCGUGGGGAAUCUGCCUUUGAGCGGGGGACAACAUUUGGAAACGAAUGCUAAUACCGCAUAAAAACUUUAAACACAAGUUUUAAGUUUGAAAGAUGCAAUUGCAUCACUCAAAGAUGAUCCCGCGUUGUAUUAGCUAGUUGGUGAGGUAAAGGCUCACCAAGGCGAUGAUACAUAGCCGACCUGAGAGGGUGAUCGGCCACAUUGGGACUGAGACACGGCCCAAACUCCUACGGGAGGCAGCAGUAGGGAAUCUUCGGCAAUGGACGAAAGUCUGACCGAGCAACGCCGCGUGAGUGAAGAAGGGUGUCGGAUCGUAAAACUCGGUUGGUAGAGAAGAACGUUGGUGAGAGUGGAAAGCUCAUCAAGUGACGGUAACUACCCAGAAAGGGACGGCUAACUACGUG